rfam:Picea glauca, whole genome shotgun sequence.
AUGUACAUUCCUUCAACGUUAAUACACUAGAUCCCAUUAGAACUGCACAGUUAAGUGCACUUGAUCUAGAGCAGUACGGAGAGGGUGACCUCGAGGGAAGUCUUAGUGUUUUACAUG